rnacentral:rRNA from 1 species
CCUACGGGUGGCAGCAGUGAGGAAUAUUGGUCAAUGGGCGGGAGCCUGAACCAGCCAAGUCGCGUGAGGGACGACGGUCCUAUGGAUUGUAAACCUCUUUUGUCGGGGAACAAAGGCGCCCACGGGUGGGCGGAUGAGUGUACCCGAAGAAAAGGCAUCGGCUAACUCCGUGCCAGCAGCCGCGGUAAUACGGAGGAUGCGAGCGUUAUCCGGAUUUAUUGGGUUUAAAGGGUGCGUAGGCGGACUGGAAAGUCAGCGGUAAAAUCGAGAGGCUCAACCUCUUUCCGCCGUUGAAACUGUCGGUCUUGAGUGGGCGAGAAGUAUGCGGAAUGCGUGGUGUAGCGGUGAAAUGCAUAGAUAUCACGCAGAACUCCGAUUGCGAAGGCAGCAUACCGGCGCUCAACUGACGCUGAGGCACGAAAGCGUGGGGAUCGAACAGGAUUAGAUACCCCUGUAGUC